CCGGCCCGAUCCUCCCACCCUUUGUGUACCUACCUCUGUUGCUUUGGCGGGCCGCGGUCCUCCGCGGCCGCCCCCCUCCCCGGGGGGUGGCCAGCGCCCGCCAGAGGACCAUCAAACUCCAGUCAGUAAACGAUGCAGUCUGAAAAACAUUUAAUAAACUAAAACUUUCAACAACGGAUCUCUUGGUUCUGGCAUCGAUGAAGAACGCAGCGAAAUGCGAUAAGUAAUGUGAAUUGCAGAAUUCAGUGAAUCAUCGAAUCUUUGAACGCACAUUGCGCCCUUUGGUAUUCCGAAGGGCAUGCCUGUUCGAGCGUCAUUACAACCCUCAAGCUCUGCUUGGUAUUGGGCACCGUCCUUUGCGGGCGCGCCUCAAAGACCUCGGCGGUGGCGUCUUGCCUCAAGCGUAGUAGAACAUACAUCUCGCUUCGGAGCGCAGGGCGUCGCCCGCCGGACGAACCUUCUGAACUUUUCUCAAGGUUGACCUCGGAUCAGGUAGGGAUACCCGCUGAACUUAAGCAUAUCAAUAAGCGGAGGAA
rnacentral:rRNA from 1 species